rnacentral:rRNA from 1 species
AGGAUCAUUAUCGAGUUUUGACUGGGUUGUAGCUGGCCUUCCGAGGCAUGUGCACGCCCUGCUCAUCCACUCUACACCUGUGCACUUACUGUGGGUAUCAGAUCGUGAAGCGUGCUCUUUUACCGGAGCUUGUGAAGCGUGUCUGUGCCUGCGUUUAUCACAAACACUAUAAAGUAUCAGAAUGUGUAUUACGAUGUAACGCAUCUAUAUACAACUUUCAGCAACGGAUCUCUUGGCUCUCGCAUCGAUGAAGAACGCAGCGAAAUGCGAUAAGUAAUGUGAAUUGCAGAAUUCAGUGAAUCAUCGAAUCUUUGAACGCACCUUGCGCUCCUUGGUAUUCCGAGGAGCAUGCCUGUUUGAGUGUCAUGAAAUCUUCAACCUAUAAGCUUUUGUGGUUUGUAGGCUUGGACUUGGAGACUUGUCGGCCUUGAUCGGUCGGCUCCUCUUAAAUGUAUUAGCUUGAUUCCUUGCGGAUCGGCUCUCGGUGUGAUAAUAUCUACGCCGCGACCCGUGAAGCCGUUUGGCGAGCUUCUAACCGUCUCACUUGAGAGACAACUUUAUGACCUCUGACCUCAAAUCCGGUAGGACUACCCGCUGAACUUAAGCAUAUCAAUAAGCCGGAGGAAAAGAAACUAACAAGGAUUCCCCUAGUAACUGCGAGUGAAGCGGGAAAAGCUCCAAUUUAAAAUCGGGCGGUCCUUUGGCCGUCCCAGUUGUAGUCUGGAGAAGUGCUU